rnacentral:rRNA from 1 species
CAGCCUGCCCAGUGACAAAGUUCAACGGCCAUGGUACCCUAACCAUGCGAAGGUAGCAUAAUCACUUGUUCUCUAAAUAAGGACUAGUAUCAAUGGCACCACGAGGGUCACACUGUCUCCUUUCCCUAAUCAGUGAAACUGAUCUCCUCGUGAAGAAGCGAGGAUAAAACUAUAAGACGAGAAGACCCCAUGGAGCUUUAAACCUCCAGCAACUUAAUCUCAUACUCCUUUAUAACUAUGCACUGCCUACCGGUUUUAGGUUGGGGCGACCAAGGAGAAAAAAUAAACCUCCAUGACGAAAAGAACUAAAUCUUUAUCAAAGAGACACCCCUCUAAGAAUUAGAACACUAACGCUUAUGACCCAACAAACGAUCAACGGACCAAGUUACCCUGGGGAUAACAGCGCAAUCUACUUCAAGAGCCCAUAUCGACAAGUAGGCUUACGACCUCGAUGUUGGAUCAGGGUAUCCCAGUGGUGCAGACCCUACUAAUGGUUC